GGUAAUCAAAACUUCACGGGUUUGAUCCUGGAUCAGUCCGUUUUGAGAAGUGAGCUGCUCGUAUUCUUACUAUUUUAGAAUAAAAACAUACAUUUGAUUUCAGUCUGUAACAGCCGGUGUAAUUUAUGAUACUUGCAAAGCUUUUUUUUUUUUUUUUUUUAAUUCACUUUUCAUUCUCGCAGUCGCAUUCAGAAUCAAUCCAUACAACCCCAUCUGACACAGCUGUUUUCACAUAAAGACGCGCUAUAGCUCUGCAGUGUACCACGAUGCAUACUACCACCCCCACC